ensembl:lncRNA
GAGCUGCCAAACGAAGCACUUUGCAGGACUCUCCUCCCAGGCUGGCAGGCUCCCACUCCAGCAGUGCUUUUGCCACCGCAGCAGCUCAUCACAGCCAUUGUUUUGGAUGUGCAGCCCCGGGGAUAAUUUGGCUUUCCCCUAUAGAGGUCCUCCAGUUCUCAUUAUUUCAUCCUUUAUGGUGGCACAGAGAAUAUGUUUGCCUGGUUUUAUGUUUCCUUGCUCUCGUUUCAGGUAAGCAAAUCCCCACAGAUCUAAAUGAGAUGAAGUCUGGGACUAAAAGUGAACCACUGUUCCCUUGCCCCACGUUUUCAGUACUGGAAACUAAGAACUGUCAGCAAAAGACAGUCCUCAUCCAAGACAUGAGAACCAGUGCCUGUCUUCCUCUUCAGGCAAUGAACUUCCAGAUUGGACCCAAAAAUACCAAUGCCAAUCGGGCUGAUGGAGGGUCUGUGCCCUGGGGAGGAGGUCUAUCAAGGAAUUUCCUGAGCUCUUUGUUUACUGAACAGACAGAACUUUAAACACCCACACACCUUUUGCUCUACUUGCACUCUGUGCGUGGUUUCAAGGAAAUAAGAUCUUUUGCUUGAAGACUUCAUCUGCUCCUGCUUGCCACAGCUCAGAAGCCAAUAAUCCUCUCCGUGAUAUCAGGCAUGCUUGCCUGAUACCAUGCCAAGGACAGCGCAUGAGAUUCUUGGGCAUGUGGAAUAGGAACAACAGAUGAGAAACCGCAACAGAUGCAAGGUAACUGCUGAAGACGAAGAUUUAUAUUGUACCCUUCUAGAAGAAAAUGAAGGGAGGAUGGAAAACAACUGGGAAUGCUUUCUAAAAUCCCUCACCCACCGUGAACAGCAGUGGAUUGAUCCGACCGGAGCUGGUCUUCACGAAGGAAGUGUGCGGGGCAAGCAGAUGCCAUGAAAACACGGUGCUAAGCACAGCCCAGCACUUAGCGUAACCAGCUCCUGGUUAUCCCUAGGUGGCUUUUAGGGCUAAGUGAAAGCAUGGCUUUACUCCAAAUCACAGUGUCAUCUAUUUCCUCAUGCAGCUU